rnacentral:rRNA from 1 species
UACGAAGGGGGCUAGUGUUGUUCGGAAUUACUGGGCGUAAAGCGCGCGCAGGCGGUCUUCCAAGUCAGUGGUGAAAGCCCGGAGCUCAACUCCGGAACUGCCAUUGAAACUAUUGGACUUGAGCAUGAGAGAGGUGAGUGGAAUUCCCAGUGUAGAGGUGAAAUUCGUAGAUAUUGGGAAGAACACCGGUGGCGAAGGCGGCUCACUGGCUCAUUACUGACGCUCAGGCGCGACAGCGUGGGGAUCAAACAGG